rnacentral:misc_RNA from 1 species
UUUGCACACGUUGAAUUCUAUAUUUUAUAUAGCUGAGAUUUUAUUGUAAAUUUUAACUUAAGGUAUUCUAAAGUGAGUUUGUUUUGUGUUGUUAAUGUGGUUGUUGCUAACCGAUUAGUAAUUGAAUCUCAGCAGUUUAUCAAUAAAAUGAUAAAUGAAAGUAUUUAUGAUUGGUAUUUGGCUUUAAAAGAUACAUCUUAUGAUGCAAUAUAUUGUAGAUAUUGUUUGGAUUUUAAAGUUGAACUGUUCUGCUGCAAGAAAGCUUUAGCCAAAAAGAUAAAUAGAUUAGUUGACACCAUCAGAAAAUUAAAGAAACAACGAAAAAAUAAAAAAUUAGCAUUGUUAUUAGGUGAAGCCUUUUUUCCACCUGUGGCAAAUUUUUCUGAUAAUACAGUGCAUCAGAAAUUCCUAAAGAAACAAUACUGAUAAGCGAAAACAAAAUGCUUAAAGAAGAAAAUAAAAUUUUAAAAAGGAAAAUGGAAUCUAUGAUGGAUUUACAAAUGGAUUAUUUUACACAUCUAAAAGAUUUUGAAGAUACGUCAAACAAUCUAAAAAUACUUAUUUCGAAAAACUCUCUAAUAGAAGCUGAUAGAAACUUUAUUAAAAAGUGUUAUUGUGAAAAAGAAGAAAAGCUUAAUAAUAUUGAAAACAAAUUAGAGCUAUUAAAGUCAAAAAAAGAAUCAUUUAAUGUUAGAAAUUUGAAUAAAAAAAUAAAAUAUCGUGAUACUCAGCUGGAAAUAAAAAAGAAUAAAAUAAAUUCGUUAAAAAAUGAAGAAAAAAAAAUAAUAUUGCAAUUAAAAAAUAAAAUAACAGAUAUUAAUUCAAUUCUUGAAAACUCAGAUAUAAACAUUUCUGAAUUAAAAAACAAAAAAGUAAAGCUGCAAAAAAAAGUGAGUAAUUUAAAAAUUAUUUUGCAAAAUAAAACCAACUAUAUUAAUGACAACAAUAUGAAAGGUGUUAUAAGUUUAGAGAAGGAAGUUGUUUCGUUAUAUAGUAAGACAAACAUUUUAAAAGAGGAGAAUCUAGAACUUCAAAAAUUGGUUUCUUUGCUGGAUGAUGACGAAGUAAUAACAUUUGAAGAUGGCAGAUACAGUGAUGACAUUCGAGAAACAAUAAUGAAACUUCUUUCAAUGAACGUGAGUAUGAAUAGUGUUAAUGAAGUCAUAAAAGUAGUUUUAAACAAACUUGCCAAAAAGAACAUAUCUAGACUGCCAUCAGCCGCUGUAAAAUGUAGGUUAAUGCAGGAAGCUUCAAUUUUAGAUCAAUUUCAAGUUGCAGAAGCAAUGCUUGAAAAUAAUUUGAUAAAUAAAAACCCUAAAAUAGGCAAUUGUUUGCAUGGUGAUGGUACUCAGAAAUACCAUAAGCAUUAUCAAAACUUUCAAAUUACUACAACUAGUGGGAAAACUUUAUCUUUUGGUCUGUCAGAAGUGGUUGGCAAAGAUGCAGCAACUCGUCGCGUUGGUUUGACAAGGUUCUAACUGAUAUUUUUGCCAAAAUCGACUUUAUCAAUUUAUUAGACUAUUUUAAUCAUGAUGAACAAAAUAAACUGAAAUUUACAUCGAUAUAGCGUAAAACAAGCAAACUGCUAAUGUGCCAAAGUUCUAUCUGCAACUUUAGUUAAAUAAUAUUUAGUUUGACAAGGUUCUAACUAACAAUAACUGCAUAAUCUCUUGCUGGUUUUUAUUAACUAAUUAUUAUGAUAAAAAUUAUAUAAAAAAAUUCUGACACCGAUGUAGAAUAAAAUAUCAUUAAAGCUAUUAUUUGACAUUUAAAAAAAAUCUUUUUUAUAACAUUCUGUAGCUUUACUCAAAUUGACACCUGUAACAUUGAAAAACAAAAUUCUGGUUUCGAUUAGGAUAGAAAUAACUAUUUUUAUUCAAAAUAAAAAGGGGAUUUAUGAGCUAAAAUAUUUUUUUAAAAUAAUGAUGUUUAUGCAUUAAUAAAUUUACAAACUUUUCACAGUCAAUGCAAGUACAAUUUGCUGCGCCAUUCCCUUACGGUAAGUCGAUCUAACUAUAUUUUGCAGUGUCUACCCCAAAAAGUAAGUCAAUACUUGUUCAUUUUUCUUCACUUAUCUACAACGGUUAGUCGAUAUAUGUGCACUUUAGAACGUUGAUUUUACAAAGUAACUUAUUUUAAAUUGUUAAAUCAAAUAUAACAGUAAUAUUAAAAAUUAAACAACUUGUAAUAAAACAUUUUUGUAUCAAUAAUAAAAACCAGGCUGCGUAGUUAAAAAAAGAUUUUAAAAAUGAUUUGAAAGUAAAAAAAAAACAAUUUGAAAAGUUAUUAUUUUCGUUUUAAGUAAAAUAUCAACAGAAAAUGGAAAGAGUAGUAUUUGAUAAAGAAAGCAGUUAUGAUAUUGACGAAUUUGUAGCUCCAACUAGUGAAAGCGGCGAAGACUGCUAUGAAUUAAGUACACGGAAGAAGAGGCGCUUUAAUUUAACCAGAACUGCACUAGAAUGUUCCAGAACUGCACUAGAAUGUUCCAGAACUGCACUAGAAUGUUCCAAAACUGCCCAAGAUUCUAAACAAAAUAUUGUUGAAGAAGCUUCUGGAAACAAUGCCAAUAAUGUUUAUGUAGCACAAACUGAAAAAUGUUCUGAGAUAGACAUGAAUGUACAACCUACGAAUGAUGCUGAAUUAGUGACAAACAAGUAAGCCAAAUAUGUAGUGUUCCCCCACGAUCACCCUCUAAAUCUUAAAUAUAUAUAUUUUUUUAUUAUGAUUUGUUUUUUUAAUAAAAAUUUCAUCUAAAAAGUGAUUUCUACAUUAAAAUCUACUAUUAUAUACAAAGUGAUCCAUUUUAAUCAUUUAAGAACGAUUUAAUUAGUAU